AUUUGUAACAUCUGUAAAGGAAGGCAAUAUGCUGCAUUAAAAAACCAAACCCCCAGAGAUAUUUUGUGUGAAAAUCUCAACACAUUCUUUUAGGAGAGGUUUAUACCUGGUUUAUUUGGUGUCUGAACAAAGUGCUGAGAAGUAAAAGUUUUUCCGUCGGGAUACUUCGGAUGUGGAGGUAAUCUGGAAUCAAGGUCUGGACAACCCAUUCGUCUCAUCUGUGUGCUGACAGACUCAAUCUCUUGAACAAGUGGCACUAAUAUUGUCUCAUUGAUCCACUAGAAGAAAUAAGGCUGCUCUGCCACACCAACCUUCCAAAAGACUACUUGAAAAGAGACAGCUAUAAUUUGAGCAGUCCACAAUGAAACUGCUACACACAGCACUAAAAACACAGCAAGUGAACAGAAUCACCCCGAAAAAGACAAAUCACAUGUAAUUCAAAGGAGGCUCCAAGUCAAUCAAGGAACCCAAGAAAAAAAAUCAGAGGAUACAGACCCAAAAGACAGUGUGGAUAAAGGACAAGGAUCCAAGUUUUAGAAGGGCACGUACUUAUGAUGGGGUGGGAGGCGGAACGCCUAGCCACAUCCCCCUUGGCUGAACCCAGGACAGAUCAGCAGGCGCGGAACUCCCACAACCCGCGUAGAUUCCAAGACAGGAAGCACAAACACGACCCC
rnacentral:lncRNA from 1 species